GAUGAACGCUAGCGGGAGGCUUAACACAUGCAAGUCGAGGGGUAAAUGGUAGCAAUACUAUGAGACCGGCGGACGGGUGCGUAACGCGUAUGCAACAUACCUUUAGCAGGGGGAUAGCCCGUGGAAACGCGGAUUAAUAUUCCAUAGUCCAGCAGUAUCGCAUGGUACCACUGGUAAAGAUUAAUCGGCUAAAGAUUGGCAUGCGUCUGAUUAGUUAGUUGGUAGGGUAACGGCCUACCAAGGCGACGAUCAGUAGGGGUUCUGAGAGGAUUACCCCCCACACUGGUACUGAGACACGGACCAGACUCCUACGGGAGGCAGCAGUGAGGAAUAUUGGUCAAUGGGCGGAAGCCUGAACCAGCCAUCCCGCGUGAAGGAAGACAGCCUUACGGGUUGUAAACUUCUUUUCUGUUUGAAGAAUAAGCCCGUUGAGACGGGUGAUGCCGGUAGGACAGGAAUAAGCAUCGGCUAACUCCGUGCCAGCAGCCGCGGUAAACUACUCGUA
rnacentral:rRNA from 1 species